rnacentral:rRNA from 1 species
AACGAACGCUGGCGGCAUGCCUAACACAUGCAAGUCGAACGAGACCUUCGGGUCUAGUGGCGCACGGGUGCGUAACGCGUGGGAACCUGCCUUUAGGUUCGGAAUAACUCAGAGAAAUUUGAGCUAAUACCGGAUGAUGUCUUCGGACCAAAGAUUUAUCGCCUUUAGAUGGGCCCGCGUUGGAUUAGCUAGUUGGUGGGGUAAAGGCCUACCAAGGCGACGAUCCAUAGCUGGUCUGAGAGGAUGAUCAGCCACACUGGGACUGAGACACGGCCCAGACUCCUACGAGAGGCAGCAGUGGGGAAUAUUGGACAAUGGGCGAAAGCCUGAUCCAGCAAUGCCGCGUGAGUGAUGAAGGCCUUAGGGUUGUAAAGCUCUUUUACCCGAGAUGAUAAUGACAGUAUCGGGAGAAUAAGCUCCGGCUAACUCCGUG